rnacentral:tRNA from 1 species
GGGGCUGUGACGCAGCGGUAGCGUGCUUCCUUAGCAAUCUGCAAUUUCCGGAUCUGCGAUGCCUUUCUGGGCAGAAAGUGGAAGAAGUCAGGGGUUCGAGUCCUCUCUGCUCCA